UACGUAGGUGGCAAGCGUUGUCCGGAUUUACUGGGCGUAAAGAGCGCGCAGGCGGUCGUUCAAGUCGCGUGUGAAAGCCCCCGGCUCAACUGGGGAGGGUCACGCGAUACUGAUCGACUCGAAGGCAGGAGAGGGUAGUGGAAUUCCCGGUGUAGUGGUGAAAUGCGUAGAUAUCGGGAGGAACACCAGUGGCGAAGGCGGCAUCCUGGACCAACACUGACACUGAGGAGCGAAAGCCAGGGGAGCAAACGGG
rnacentral:rRNA from 1 species